ACCUUUGCUCAAGUAAAAUUGAAAAGGAGUACUUGAUUUGUGUACUUCAUCCAACACUGGUACAUAGAACAAGAUUUAGAAAUGUUGAACAUAAAAUAGAAGAAUACAUUUUAUCUGGACAGCCCCUUAUUGUGUCUUAUAAGCGAGCCAAACUUUGUGACCAUGAUUUCAUAUACAUAUUACACACACCCAUGUUCAUAUACAUUUUAAUGUUUUCUCUAGUUAUCUGUUUUUUGUCACUCUUUUUCAGUUUGGAUACGUACAAUGCUUAUUUAUUCGUUAUUGUCAGGUUCUGUUAUCCUUGUUAUGAAUUGUAAAUGAUGUUAAUCACUUUUGAAAAAAAAAAAAAUGACUGAGAUAUUUGGGUUUCUUAUGCCUGUUUCACACUGGAUGUGUAAGCAGAGAUGAAGCAGCACAGAAGCUGCAUAUUUGCAGAGCGGAAGCGAUGCGCACUGUCAUGCCAUUUUAGUGCACAUUGUGGAUGCUCUAAUCUAUUCACAUGGGUGCUGAAAAAGUGCCUCAUAUGCCUCUAGUGUGAAACGAGCUUUACUUUCAAAAUGUUUGGUUUGUUUUUUGAUUACAUUUGUUUUGUAACACUUCUCUCCCACCUGUUGGCCCUGAGACCCUCCUCCUCUCCAUCUCCGCCUCUGCUGCUGCUCUGCAUGAUGGGUGCAGCCACUGAGAACAGUUUCCCAUCAGUUUUGUGCAUGCAGGUUUCAUCGCCUCCAUUGUUUGCUCCCGUCUGUGCUGUCAGUAGUUUUCUGGAACUCUUCAUCCUCUCCUAAGGAAAUUCUGGCAGCACAGACGAGGCUGGCUCAUGGGGUCCUGUCCUUUAUCUGUGGCUUUAUCCUCCCUUUUCUGCCCUUUUCCUCCCUUUAACAAAAUCACUGGCCAAGUCUCUGCUAUAAAACAGACCUUUGUCAGCUGUCUACAUGGGGAUUUAGUUUUUUUUUUUUUUCUUAUGUCCAACAUUAUCACACCUCAGAAUUAUGAAGUAAAAUUCACACCGUAAAAUUCUGUAAUCAUUUACUCAUUAAUGUUCUCGUUAUGAAAAAAUUUAACCCUUAUUGAACAACAAGGGGGGAACAUAAAUGAUGAUAACAUGUGGAAAAUAUUUGAAACUUUUUUUGUUGUCUGUACAGUAAAAGUCAGACUCAGUGGUGAUCAGUGUGGUUUUCUUUAGAUUUCUUUUGUGUCCUCUUGUUGUCUGUUGGUUUAAAAACCUAAAAUCUUUUUACACAUAAACUACCAAAAAUGACUUAUUAUAUAUAUAUAUAUAUAUAUAUAUUAUUAUUAUUAAUAUUGUUAUUAAUAUUAUAUUUUUUUCAUUCAAGGAAAAAAAUAAUGCUUAGAUUUGAGAGGCCAGUUAAAAUGAAUAUUAUGGUUUCAUAUUUAGAAUGAUCUUAGAAUUUUAUAAAAACUUUUUUCUAAGGUAAAUUUAGGUGUCUUUCCUAAAAAGAUGCUGGGAGACUACAAAUGUACAUAUAAUAACCAAUGAUAGAAUGUGGUGAUGCCAAAAUACCAUGAAUCCAGCAACCCUCACUUGACUGCCUAUAACUAUUGUAGGGAUACAUUCAUAAUUACUAAACAUAGCAAAAUAUGCAUGAAAAACAUAAAUCAAACUCAGCAAUUAUUCAGUCUGAUUCUCGUAUGUACAUAACACCAUUAAACAUUGUAGACUCCCCCAAAACACACCUCUUUGGCCAGUAUCAAUAAUAAAAAAAAACACUCUGCAAAAUAAUAACAAGACAGCAAAAAAAAAAAAGCACAUUUGCUUCUAAAGUCAAUUGUUACAUCCCUUUUCGUAGAACAUAAUUUGCCCAGGUUGCUGUUUCAGUGAAAGGGGCAAAAUUAUGGAAUGCUCUGCCAGAUUAGCCCCCGACAUUAGCCACCUUAAAAAAAAAAUCUAAUUGUGGUUAAUUCAGGAACAAUGUUGCUCUCAUAUUUAGUCUUUUGACUUUGCCCUUUCUGUAUACUUUUAGUCCUUUUUUAUUAUUUUCCAUUGUGUUACAUUUCUAUCCUUUUUUUUCCCCAUUCUUUUAUUAAUGUUGAUGUUUAUGUUGAUGAAUAUGAGACAAAACUACAGAAUGUCACAUUUUAUUAUUAGGUCUUUCGACACCAUACAUGUUUUACCAAAUAAAAAGGACAGCACUUUUAGAGUUCAUCCCCAUAUUUGAUGUGGGCAUAAGCAUUGGAACAGUUGAAUUUAAGGCAGAUGUAAAAGAUUAAAAGCUAAUAUUUAGUUGCAGAUCCCUUGCAGAGUCUGUAACCCAUAGUCGUCGUCAGACUCCUGGUCUUAUGUUGCUUGUUUGGGGAGUUUCUGUCUUUAGUCACCUCUUCAGAUGGUGAAAUUUAACGUUCAAUCAGAUUUAAAUCUGGAGAUUGAUUUGGGCAAUAAAGUCCUUGACUGAACUGUCAGGGUGUUUUGGGUCAUUUUCCUGAUCCAUUCUGAAGUGCUUUCUAAUUAAUUUGGUGGCAUUUUUAUAAAAUAUUGGUAGCCAAGAUGAUUUUGUACCCCCUUCCAAAUUCAUUCUGCUACUGCCAUCAUACAUUAAGUCAUUAUUAAAAUUAAGAGGUCCUGUUCUAGAGACAUCAAUGCAUCCCCAUGCCAUGACACCACCUCCACCAAUCUUUACAGAUGAGGUUGUAAGCUUAGGAUCAUUUGCAGUUCCCUUUUUUCUCCACACUUCUGCUGUCCAAUCACUUAGGUAAAGGUUAAUCUUUGUCCGUCAACUUCGUUCCAAAACUCUACUGAAGAAUCUUGCCUUUCUAUUUUUGGUGCUGAUCAGAGGUUUGCAUUUUGCUGUGUAGAUUCUAUAAUUCUGUGUCAUUCUCAUGUGGACUGUAGAUUGACAGAGCAUCACCACAGCUUUCUGGAGGUUGUUGGUGAUUUUACAGACAUAUAUUUAAGGGUCAUUUUCACAGCUUUUUUGAUUUGUCUGUCAACAACUACUGUUAUUUUUCUCAGACGAUCAUGUUGUCAUUGGUUGCUGAUGUCGCUGGUAGUUUCCGAACUCUUGAUUUCUCCAUGCCCUUUUUUUCCUAUAGUUCUAAUUGACUUCCUCUUUUCUUUUAGCAUCCAAAUUGCUUGCUUUUUCUUUUCAGAAUCGCUUUCCUCAUCUUCAUCCUGGUUUGUGUAAGCCAUCAUUGAAUACAAGAAUUAGAAUGCAGAAGCAAUGGAUAUAACUGAUAAGAUCCAUUUCCUGCUUUUAAUAUCUGAAGAAUUAAUGCAACAGAACACAGCUGAACACUUAGAAAGACCUGUGAGGCAACUGUUCCAAUACUUUUGCUCACAUCAGAUUGGGAGAUGAAAGUAUAAAAGUGCUGAUCUUCUUAGCUGGUAAAACAUCUUUGUGUUGAAUCACCCAAUAUUAAAACGUGACAUUCUGUAGUUUUGUUUCAAUUGAAUCUUUUAAUCAUAUUUACAGAUUUCUUGACUCAACAGCAAACAGAACAAUUUUGUCUUUACUGUUCCAAUACAUAUUGAGGGUACUGUAUGUGGUUUAUUUGUUUGAAUCAUUAAUAGCAGACUCACAUAUACUGUACGACUCUUUCGACUCUCCACUGUUUUGAAUUGACAGUUUGAAUGCAUUUUUGUACUGGAUUCUUGGACUGAUAACUUUUAGCAGCCUGAAAUUACCUGAUUGCAAACCAGAAUGCUAAAACAAUCUCUCUUGUGAAAAAGUGAAAGUGACGUGACAUUCAGCCAAGUAUGGUGACCCAUACUCAGAAUGUGUGCUCUGCAUUUAACCCAUCCAAAGUGCACACACACAGCAGUGAACACAAACCCGGAGCAGUGGGCAGCCAUUUAUGCCCGGGGAGCAGUUCGGGGGUUCAGUGCCUUGCUCAAGGGCACCUCAGUCGUAUUGCCGACCCGAGUCUCGAACCUCUAACCACUAGGCCACGACGCCCCCAUUGUUCAAAUAUCACUUUUUGAAGUACUGUUUCCACAAUAAUUUACUAAUCGAAAGUCUUCAGGAGAUGAAUCUUUAGCUUUUAAGCUCUCAAAUGGUAUUUAAUUUAUGAAGAUUAAUUGAAUAAUUAAUGUUAAAAAAAAUCCAUUUACAACUGCAAUUUAAGUGGCUAUACAUAGACAACUGACUGUCUCUGCCAGAAAGCUUAAACUAGGCAGUGGUGGUUGUUGGUCUUGCUUGCAGGACAAGCAUCAAAAGCAAAAUAAACACAAAAAUGAUUCACAGAAUUAACGUUUUGUGGUGCUUAUUCCAGUCCCCUGAUUUGUUUUCGAAUGCACAUGCUGGAAUUUCACAGAACAGGAUGUCUGUAGUCCAGUCUGAAGUAGUCUCAUGUUUGCAAAGGGUGGAGGAUUGAGCUGGAGUUAGUAUUUUCUUAGCCUUGCUGAGAUGUCUGACCAGCUGGAAAGGUCUGUGCUGCUGCUGUUGGAUUGUCUGGCUGAAAUGAGAAGUUAAGCUGUAUGUCAUCCAUGUAACAUAUUUUGUUACAUAAACCAUGUGCCAACCAGUGUUGGGUAUAGUUACUUUGGAAAGUAGUUAGUUAGGUUACAACGUUACCAUCAAUUAAAAGUAAUCAGUUAUGAUACAGCGUUACCUAUUCAUAAAAGUAACGCGUUAGAGUACUCAUGCGUUACCAAAAAUUAAAAGCCAUUUGCAGCGGCUCACACGACAGACACAGCCCCCGGCCCCUUUAAAUGCACCUAAAAGUGGUGACUCCCGACAAUGAAUAACGUCAGUCAUCCGACUAAAUUAACACUGCAGGAUAACUAUAACAGGAAAGACCGUCACCAAUCGGCUAUUCCACAUGGCGUUUUAUUUAUUUAUUAUCACAGAACAUAUUAUUAAUCAAAAUUCACACCUAACGUUACCCAGCCCGGGUAGCCUAGGCUACUGUAUAUUAUGAGCACCACAAGAUAACUCCUGAUUUUUCUUUAACUUUAAAUAAUGCAGUUAUCAAAGUACAAGUAUGCUUACUUGUAAACACAACCUUAAACAGGCUUGCAGAUUUAAAUCCAUUCAGAAAUGAUGAACAACCAGCCAGCCAAUGAUCUAACAGAAAUUAACAGCUGCCUGUCAAACAAAAAUGAUAACAAACCGAAUAAAAUCCUUCACUGCCACACAGGCAAAUGACAAAUCGCUUAAUAGCCGAACUAAUUAUUAUUAAAGUGUCACUCACAGUCACAAGCCUAAAUUCGCUUUAACACAGUCCUCUUACAUUUACUCUUCAAAGUAGUGAUUAAAACGUAGCGUUAAAUUUGAGGUAGAAUUUUUGGCGGUCGACAGAAGCUUUUCACCAAAGCAAAGUGUGCAUUUUACCGUUAUGUUCUUUUCUUUUUCGUUGACAAAUUGAAAAUAAUGUGCGUACUUCCAUAAAUCAAACGCUGUCCUCUCUGCUAUCUUGCCGGGAGUUUGAAAAAAAAAAAAGCCCCACACACACAUAGGGUCAGGCGCAGGGCACAGACGCAUCACAGCCAUUGACUUUACGAUCACAGAGCUUCGGCUCCACUGAUACUGUACAUCCGCAGGUGGCACAGUAGACCUAGGACUACUGUCUGACAAAAAGCAGGCUGCAGUCGGGAUUUUCCUUUCCUUAAAAUAACUUACGCACGAAACUAACGCGUUAAGUUACAAAUUUCAGGAAAAAAGUAAUUAGAGUACUCUAACACGUUACUUUGUAACGCGUUACCCACAACACUGGUGCCAACUGCCUUGAAGUGUGAACAAACCUUUAGGUACCUAGGUGACAAUGUCAGCUAACCUCCAAGAAACUGAUAAGUCUGCCUGUGAGGAAAUUUUCCAUUUGGUGCAAAACAAAAAAAAAGAAGUAAAGCAUGGAUCCAUCCUUUCCUGUAUCAAUUUGCCUUAAAUGGAUAGUUUACACCAAAAUAAAAAUUCUGUCAUUAAUUACUCUCUUAUGUCGUUCCAGACCCAUAAGACCUUUGUUCAUUUUUGGAACACAAAUUAAGAACAAAUUAAGAAAGCCAGUACCACAACCCAUGCAUGUACAUUCUUCUUGCAAACAACCGGGAUCUCCGUCUGAAUGCAGGCUUCUGCAUUAGCAACACCACACGCAUGCAUUGUGGUUAGGGCUGGGAUAAACGAUUAUUUUUUUGAUGCAUCGAUUAAUCUAACGAUUAAUUUUUUCAGACCGAUUCGAUUUCAAUUAUCUCCCCAUUAAUUGACUACUAACAACUUAUACAUGUUGAUUUACAUAUCUGAAUGAAAAAAAACAUGAAUUCCUUAACAUUGCAAUAUAUGUUUAUUGCUCUUAAAAUAAAAGACUGACUAAGAAUGCAUUACUUUGCACUUGUAUAGAGAUAGCAUUCAAUAAAACCUUGAAGCCUUGAAAACACAUAGCAUUCAAUAAAACCUUGAAGCCUUGAAAACACAUAGCUUGAAAACAUAGGGCCUAGCUUACUGAAAAAAAGUUAUUCUUUCAGAUGAAAAUAACAACAACUUGAUGUCUAGCAUUCAAUAAAAAAGGUCACUCAAAAUACUUGUUUAGAGCAGUUGAAAGAAUACAGUAACCAAUGUAAACUUGAGGGCUUUAAGCUAAUACAGAGAGUGCUUUUCCAAAAAAAUAAAAAAUAAAUUUACAGUGGGAGCCAGCAGCCUGUCAUGGAGAAAAGAAAAAAAAAAUCCCUGAAUGCUCCAUGUGAAACUUUGGCGUUCCGCCCUUUCUCUAUCGUGUCUAAUGAUUUUGGUUAAUAUGCACGAGAGAGGGAGAGAGAGAGAGAGAGAGAGAGAGAGACAGAGACAGAGAGAGAGCAAGACAGCGCUUGUGUAGUUUGAAGACUGUGAUUGCGCGAGCGCGCGUGAAACUUUGGUGUUUCCCCUUUUUCUAUCGUGUUUAAUGAUUUUGAUUAAUAUGCACAAGGGAGAGAGAGAGCAAGAAGCGCUCGUCUUGUUUGAAGACUGUUAGUGCGUGCGCGCAGCCGGGGCUCUCUCUCGUAUGUGCCCUGUCAGGCGCAGGAGUCAUUCUAUUCUACAUCACUCAAAGAUCAAAUAAGGCUUUGACAGGCGCCAAAAAAAAGAUCAAUGCAGAAAAACCCCUGGAUUGGUCAUAUAACGUUGGACAGAAUGUUGAUCCGGCCAUCGCGUAUAUUCAGUGCACAUAAGGUAAACGUUUUGCAAAUGUUUUUUAGAGAAAUAAAAACUGGUCGACGAAUCGAUGCGCAUAUUUUGCGUCAACGUAUUUUUUGUUGUCCCAGCCCUAAUUGUUGUACUUUAGUGAAUGUGCAUCGAAGUCCGACACAGAAGAGAAGAAAUUGUUGAAUAAAGUAAUUUUUUGUUGUUGUUUUUGUUUUCUUUGCACACAGAAAGUAUUCUCGUAGCUUCAUAAAAUUAAGGUUGAACCACUGAUGUCAGAUGGACUAUUUAAACAAUGCCCUUACUACGUUUCUGAGCCUUGAAUGUGAUAGUUCCGUUUCUGUCCAUCCUGGGUCAGAUUUUUAAAAAAAAUAUCUUAAUUUGUGUUCUGAAGAUGAACAGAGGUCUUUGAGGUUGGGAACGACAUGAGGGUGAGUAAUUAAUGACAGAAUAUAAUUUUUUUUGGGUAAGAUAUCCCUUUAACACUGUCAGUGGGUAUUUUCAAUUUCUGACCCAAGUAUUCUUAGUUUUUGUAUACUUUGAACUUCAAACUAUACUCCAUUUGAUGUGUGCGAACGCAGGCAAUCUAGAAAGCUUUAUCCAUAUCCAGUGUCUGCUCUUUUUUUUUUUUUUCUCCCAUCAAGUUAUGACUGCUAACAAAUAUUUUUUAACUCUUUUCCAAACCAAAGCAGAGCUGUCUUGCUCAUAAAGCUUGUCGGUGUGUUGUAUUUUGCAGUCUCUGCUGGUUUGGUGUCUUAUGUUUCUAUGUUUUUCUUCUUUUCUUUUUUGGUACUGUGUAACAAUGGCCCAGGAUAGUGUUGCCACCUUGUGUAAAAACUGAUUAUUGCAAAAAAACUUCAGUGCGCAUGUGCGAACUGCGUUCACAAUGUACAAAGUCCCUUGCAUACUCAUAACAAGUGAAGUAUACUUUGGGCUUAAGAAAAACAGAAUGGGGGUCGAUUGUGCUAGUAAUGAUGUUAAAAAUGAAAUGCAUUGUUGCAGUGACUAUAAUUAAGAGCUCAUAAUGAAGUCUCACGCUAAAUUAAGGAUAAUGAUCAAAAUUAUCACUUGCCUUACUAACCUUAUUGAUGUUGCUACAUGUACUCACACAAUUGUAAUGCAGUUGUCUAGACUGAUUUCUUACGGAAUCAUAAUUGUAGUCAUAUACUACUUUGUUCAGGGUGUCCCACUUUCACUUCCAUGCUAUAGUUGAUUGAAAGACUCUUCAGGUGGCAUUACCCAUUUAUUGCUAUAACCAAGGUGAAUUGUUAUAAUUUCUGGAAAUAAUUCUCAAAAAGCUGUUUCUUGCUGUAGUUUGCACUGUAAAUAUCAUUGUGGCUUAUAUAGGUCUUGCAUAUUUUAAUCUUCUGGUCCACAGUCCACAGAAGCUGAAUUUGCAAUAUGUGCUCCUACCUGAUGCUUUCCGGACCUUUUUCACUCUCUAAUCUGCACUAGAAUUACCUAGCUGUCUCUCCUCAAUCCUGAUUUUGUAUUCGCCCUCCAUUGCCCUAAACAUAUUUGAUCCAUUGCCUUUGUCUUGUGGCACAAAACUGAUUGAGGAUGACUGGUUGUUUCCUGGCUGCUCCGAUCCAGAAUUAGCCAAUCGGCAAGAGGAAGUGGAGGAGGAGUUGGCCCAGGCCCGUGGACUCUGCACACAGAAAAGCAGGAAGCCCAAAUAUUUCACCCCACACAGCCUGCAGGAGGACUUGGAAUUUCAUAGUAGGCAAGACCCAAUAAGCCCCACUGAUUGCGAUGUUCUUGUAAAUGGAGAGAACAUGGGUGGAUGGUGGCCACAGCACAGUGCUGCAGAUACAGAUGGCUUGAGGUCUGUUGUUGCGGAGCUUGAACUCGAGAGAAACCAACUGCAGGAACAGAUUUUGGUCCUUGAGAAUCAGUGCCAAGAUCUAGAGGACCGUCUGCAACUUCAGGCUCGCAUUGAAUUACUACAGGUACACAGAAACUGUUUGGACUGUACGUAUAACAGCGUUAUCAAUAUCAGCUUCUGGAGUUACACUGCUUGCCAACUGACCCUUUGCUAAGCCUGCUCUCUCAAUUACUGUAGCUGUCUGUCACUAAAUUAUUGGAUUGGAUUGCCCCAGGAAUCAUUAAAUAAAGUGGAAAUGCAUCAGGCCUAGUCACUUUAUUUACCUUCCUAUAAUCUGCACCGAAGCAAUUAAUCUCAUCCUUUUUUCCCAUCAAAAACCAUCUAUAAUCCAACAAAUGAGUCAAUAUAACAUUUUUUAAGGGGUGGUUGACUGCGAUUUCAUUUUUCUGCAUUUCUCUCUCUCUCUCUCUCUCUCUCUCUCUCUCUCUCUCAUCUGAUUGUAGGCUCCUAUAAACUGUGUUCCAAUUAUACACUUUAAAUGUAAAUGUAUGACUUACAGUGAACUCAGGAUAUCAAUUUUUACCUAUCAUGUGUUCCCGGGGAAUCAAACCCCCAACUUGCGCUUUGAUAAUACAGUGGUCUACCAAUUGAGCUACAGGAACUAAUUAUGUGUAUAGACAGACAGAUAUUUUUACAUAGCUAUGGGAAGAAUUAAAUAUGGACUCACAUGCAGCUGCCAUGGUGUAUUAAAGCUUUAAUCAGGAUAAAACCGUAUUUUAAAAGCUAGCAACAACAACAACAAAAAAAAAAAACAUGCUGUUAAGAGCCGUAUGCUUGCACAGGUUCUGUGCGAUCCUCUUCACUAAUAUCCUCUGCAUCUCUGUCACGCUCCACUUGUAGUCUCACUUCCCCAUAGGCACCUCACCGUAGGCACUACAAUUCCCACAAAGCCUUGUCCCUUCAUCACAGUAAUUGCACUCUUGUUAAUUGCACUAAGGUGUCUUCACUUGAUAGUCAUUACCCUUGCCUAUAUUAACCGGUCUUUUUCUGUUUGUCUUCAUGGAGUCCUUUCAUUCAGUCACCCAGUUUCCUCCUCUUCUUCCGAAUUUCCUGUUCCAGUUCCUAUUCCCAUUCCUGUUCUCUCCCUGUUUGUUUGUUGUUGGGGAGGUGGGUUCUACGUCACAUGUGUUCUGGACCCUGGCGGAUGGUAUGGGAUAUAAUGAUGUGGCCCUUAAAUACAUUUUCAACACCGGUCUGGAUGACCCGGUGCCUCGAAGGGAAAUGGACCAGUUGGACGCUUAUAAUUUCUGGUAGCUUGUGUUCUACCUACAACAUCGGUCUCCGUGGAAUACCCCAGCCACAUUCUCCUGGUGGGAUGGCCGAUUCUAGACUGGGGUCUACAAACAGGAGGACCGCCAGCCCAGCGCCACUGCACAAGAUGGCCGCCAGCCCAGCGCCACAGCACAAGAUGGCCACCAGCCCAGCGCCACAGCACAAGGUGGCCGCCAGCCCAGCGUCACAGCGCAAGAUGGCCGCCGUCCCAGCGCCACUGCCCAAGAUGGCCGCCGGUCCAGAGUCAUGACACAAGAUGGCCGCUUGUCCAGUGCCUCUGCACAAGAUGACAGCCACAGUUGACCCUCCAAAGUCGAGUCAGGUUCCUGUUGACCCUCCAGAGUCGAGUCAGGUCAAGUCACUGUUGACACUCCGGAGUCAGGUUAAGUCACCAGUGAUCUUCAUGGACAAAGGCAAGUCACCAUUGAUCUUCAUGGGCAAGGGCAAGUCACCAAUGAUCUUCAUGGGCAAAGGCAAAUCACCAUUGAUCUUCAUGGGCAAAGGCAAGUCACCAUUGAUCUUCAUGAGCAGAGUCAGGUCACCAAUGAUCUUCAUAAGCAGAGUCAAGUCACCAAUGAUCUUCAUUAGCAGAGUCAAGUCAUCAUUGGUCUUCCUGAAUCCAGUCCAAACACCACGGAAUCCGCACCUCUGCUGAACUACCAGAGCUUCUCCACGUCUCGGCUGAACUACCAAGGUCUCUCCACGUCUCUGCUGAACUACUAGAGCCUCUCCACAUCUCGGCUGAACUACCAGAGCCUCUCCUCGUCUCUGGAGAACUUCCAGAGCCUGGUGGGCUUCUGUCUCGACUGCACGGAAGUGGUGGUCUUCUGUGCCGCCCGGGUGGGCUUCUGUCUCGACCGCACAGAAGUGGUGGUCUUCUGCCGCAAAUAUCACAUUUGAAUAUUUGAGCUCACAAAAAAACGUAUAUUUGAAUAUUUGUUUAUUUGAAUUAAGUUCAAUGAGACAGACGUUAUUUUUCAUUAAUAUUUGUUGUUUCCAUCAUUUUGAACAAGCUUACACACAAUAAGCUUGAACACAUCGUGUUUUGUAGCUGAAAACCUUUAACAAUGCGUGCAAACAAACAAAAGUACAGAUUAAAAGCAAAAAAAAAGGUGAACAAAUAUAAAAUGUAAAGCAGCCUGCAGCAAUAGGCUAUUGUAGAACGUAGCCUACACUUUUAAACUUUUAAACUGUCAGCAAUCUUUUUUUCUAUUGUUUAACAUGUUCUUGUUAAGAAAUACGGGCAUGUAUACAUGGUCAGGGGAAAGUCGGCUCUUUAGUCUGUUAACAAUAAGGCCGGCCGUGGAGAAAACACGCUCUGACGGCACAGACAUUGGCAGGACUUACAAAUAAUGGUGUGCUAAGCGAAUAAGUUUUGUGAAGCGCUUCGUGUUUUUAUUUCACCACUGAAUGGGAUCCUCAUCUGGUGGAAUACCUGGCACCAGCAAGAACUGUUCCCACUCGUCUCGGCUGGACUCUCUGUAAUCAUUGCUUAAGAACUGGCUCAACCUUUUCCGACGAGUGGGCAUUGCAUCCUCUUCAUCGUUGGUGACGGCGGCUGCAUCCGCACCACUCGCAUCAAGGAAAAUGUUCUGAUAAUGUUCAAAUUAUUUUUUUUACUUCUCAUGUUUUCAUCGAGAAACCUGAGAUGUUUGUGCUGAGGGUCUAGGGCAGAUGUGAGAAGAGGAGUUUUCACUGCAAAUCAAGUUAACGGUGUUUAUUCGUUGCUUGAGAGAUGCUGCAACAAUGUUCUUGAAUUUGAUCUCUUUCUGUGAUUCUCCACGGCAUAUUUGAAGGACUGUAGAAGACCACAGUUCUUAGGGGCCAUUCAAAUAUUGCGUCUUUUGGGCGCUCAAGUUCGUUAUUUCCAAUCUAGGCGCGGUAUGCUCGCUCAUAAUGGAAGCGACGCGGUCACGAUUCGCACGAUUUGCUGAGUUUAGGUUUGAAGAUUAUGAAAAUUCAUAUUUACAGUAAAGAAGUAAAAGGAACUGAAAUUGUGAAUAUUAACAUUGUUUUCCAGUGUACUAUAAAAUAAUUACAAUUUUAUUUAAUACUCAUUUUCUAUUUUAAAACAAUGGUAUUAUAUGGUGUUUAUUUAUUAAUAUUUAUUAUUUAUCAUUUAGUAAAAAUAAUAAUAAUAAUAAUAACUAAAUAAAGUGCAACAAUGCUAUUAUUAAUUUAUUUUUUAUAGUAGGUCACACUAUGCUCAAGGUGAUCGCCAAACCAAAUCUUCAGGUGCUCUGAUGAGAACCAGACUGAGAAAAAUUAUUUGCAUCUCUGAUUAUAGCACGAUAUUGACGUGUACUCCAGUUUUAUCAAAGGAUUAUUGUUGCAGUGCAUAUAUCCCAUUUUUAUGAGUUUUUGUGAAAGUGCAGAACUGAGUCAGUGAGCUGACACUUUCGGUGGAUACAGUUUUCAAAAGUUGAAUAUGUAUUUUUUUUUUUAUAGUGCUAAGACAGAGGCACCAAACUCAGUUCCUCUAUGGCCACAGCCAAAAGGAUUUUAGCUUCUUCCUUAAUUAAACACACCUGAUUCAGCUAAAUACGUCUUUCGCAAUUUAAAAACCACAGGAAUGAGUGUUGGAGCAGGGUCGGAGGUAAACAGCAGCUGGAAUAAUUCAAGUGAGCAUGUCUUUGACUUGAGGUCAUGAUUUAAUUUAGCAAUUUCUGUAUUGCAUUAGUUUUGAAUAUUUCUCAUGGGCAUGUAAUAAUUUUUUACUUUGUGGUGUGUUAAACUUUUUUUUUUCUUUUUUUUUUUUACGCAUUUUACCUGUAAAAGGAAACCUGCUUAAUAAUUAUGCACACCUGAGUAUAAGGCAUUUUUCACUUCCAGCCAUUGUUAACAAUUACACAUCACUUUGAUUAAAUUGGUUAUUAAAUUUGAUGCGGUUUGUAAUUGGUAAAUUGUACGUGGAAAACAAAUAUGGCCAGAAUAUCAACUUGCAUAAUAAUUCCACUGUAGUUGUAAUGUUUACAAAAAAAUCUGGGUUAGAGUAAUACCCUUACAAUGGAGGUGAAUGGGGUCACAUUUUGGAGAAUAUAAGGUCAGACAAGGUCCAAAAUGCAACAGAAUAUGAUAACAAAAAGUUCUAAAAAAAUAAUUACUUAAAGGGUUACUUCACCCCAAAAUGAACAUUUUAUCAUUAAUCACUUACCCCCAUGUCAUUCCAACACCAAAAAAACUUUGAUCAUCUUCAGAACACAAUUUAAAAUAUUUUGAAUGAAAACCGGGAUGCUUGUGACUGUCCCAUUGACUUCCAAGUAAAUGACACUGUCUAGGUCCAGAAAAGUACUGCCAACAGUGGUUCAACCGUAACGUUAUGAAGUAACAAAAAGAAAAUAUUUUUUCAAAAUUUGUCUCCUCUGUCUCCCUGCAGCUGUGCUGUGGUAAACAUGGAACUUUUCCUUGACAUGAAACGGUAAAUAAUCAAACCAGUGGAAGCAGUGCGUUUAUCCUUUAUUCAUGCAAAAUCUAUUCAGUCAGUAUCGCUUUCUCUGCUGCGGUCGAAUUGGGCUCUGCCAUCUUCCAUGCAAGACACAUCAACUUUCAGUAGUGACGCUGUGCCAGACAGUGCAACUCCUGUGACCUGUCCCUGAACCCUCAGACGCGCUAGCGUGCCCACUCGCAAAGCAGACAGCCACUCCUCUACUACCGCGGUUGUUGUUUUUUUACACUUUUUUUUAAAUUCAAAUAUAAAUUUUCACCUUCAAAAUUCGUUUUUUUAAAACUAUUCAAAUAUAUAUUUGAAUUUAGAAUAUUCAUUGACAGCCCUAAUUAGCAGUGUUAGUUUAAGAUUUUAACAUGAACAUCUGCUGUUUAUUUCUCUCAAUGUGCACACUUUUAUGGCAUUGUUUAAUUUGGUUCAAUGGUUGGUGCACAAUUUGGUUAAGAGUAAAAAAACUCUUAACUUUUGGGAGGACACUAGCGCACAGAAAGGUUCCUUGUUUACUAGUUCAGAGUUACUGCUAGUUUUAAUAUAAAAGAAUGCAAUUACCUUCAUAAACUAUAACCUAAAUCAUUAAAAAGGUCUACAACUCAAGUUUCAUAUCGAUCUCAACUUCGUUUUUCAUUUACAUAAAUCCUGGCAUAAAUAGAAAUGAAAAUAAAUUACUUUCACUGAAAGAUUAAAACAAAACAAAAAUUAAGCUGGAGACUUUUUGGUUUAAAAUUAUUAAAAUUUCUCGUACAUUAAAUGUGUAAACAAACAAACCAGUGUGGUGAAUU